UCACUGCAGACAGGACCAUGCAGAAAAACAGUAUGAUAAGUCCAUGUUGUAUAUAAUACUUUGAAAAGCAAAUUGUCAGGAGAGUAGGAGAGAACUGGCUUCUCUUUAUUUAACACUUUGUCCUUUGGUUUGAAUUCUCUCUUUAAUCCAUUCAGCCUCUACACACUUGCUGAACACCCACCCACCCUGUGCCUGGCUCUCUGCAGUUCCUGGGUUACAAACGGAGGGAGCCACCUCCCACACCUAGAGGGCCGCACAUUCUCCUGUGGGAUGCAGCUAAGUGAUGGCUGGGUAGGGGCCAUGGAGUCCAGAACCCUGCCUGCCCCCCCCCCCCAGGCCCCCAGCCCAUGUUCCAGAAGGUUCUCAGGAGGAGGAGGUGCCUGAGCUGAGUCCUAAAGGACCAGUUGGCCAAGCAGAAAACAUGAAAGAGGUCAUUCCCCACAAGGGAAACAUGAAAUAAUACCAGGGUCCCUCUCUUUCUCUGCUUCUCUAUAUAGUAUGGCCCCAUUCUGAAUACUUCACACGUGUCAUAUCACUUCGUUCUCAGAACUCUGUGAGGCAAGCACUCUUACGGCUCCAUAUUAAAGCUGAGGUCCCUGAGGCCUAAAGGAUGGAGUGGUUCUUCAAGGUCACGUCCUUCGUGAGCGGUGCAGCCAGCAUUUGAACUGAGCAGAAAGUUGGCAAUGUGGCUACAAAGUUCAGGACCAACCAUGGGAAUAGAAAUCUCGCUGCAGAGUCAAGAGCAGAGACUUGUUACCGAAUGAACAGGCAUAUCCAGGAAUAGCAUGGAGAUGGGGACACAAGUGGUCUGAGCCGGAGCCUGGGGGACACUGGACAGAAGACAUGAAGUAUAACAGAACGUACAGCUCAGUCUGGAUGAGGUGAGGAAAAAAGCCAAGGCAUUCCCUCCUUCCUCUUUCCUCCUGGUAGAAGUGGAUCAGGGCUUAUGGGCCUGAAAUACACGUAGGUUGGGAGGAGGGCCUAUUUAAGAAAAAGAACACAAAAUCUAUAAAACCAAAAUUAGGGACACAGUGGAUAUUAUUUAGAAUGGGAAAAGAAGUCACACACAUUAUAAAUUUUUUAAACCCAGAUACAUGCCACAAAUACUAUAAAAUUCAGAAAACAAUAUGAUCUAUAUUCAUU